GUUGUGUGACUCACAGAUUGGGAAGGGUUUUAAAAUCUAAAGCAGAAGAUUAGGUGUAUUUGCGAGGUAGAAUGCAAUAAAAGAAUACAUUUCUCAGUGCAUCAGAGGAAGGGGCUCAAAACACCCUCUCCUGAGGAAUUCUACUGCAUAUCAGUGAAGUAAAGAAUGACCAGGCAAUACUCUUUGAAAAUUGGAGACCAUUUGCAGCUGCUCUCUGCUGAGGAAAGUGAAUAAUAGGGUGCCCUCAAGGAAUUUCAAAGGAGCCAGCAGCCAGCUGUCCCAUGUUGUGCCGCCUACUGCAUCCUGGACUAGGCCAGUGACUUCCAUGUGGCCGAAGAGGAGGAGGCCAUCAAUGACACCACAGACUCCAGGGUGCUCUGGCACCAUCUCCAAAUUGUCAAGCAGCAGUCCUGGGCCUGCACCACCGGCAGCAACUUGUGGGCUCAGAUCAUUCUGGGAACUUGGCAUAAUGAACAGUGGGUCUGGAACUUUCACAUGUACCCAACCACCUUCAUGAACUUCAUUUCUCAGCAGACCCCCACAUCAAGUGCCAGGACACUGGCAUUAAGUAAACCCUCACUCCAGAGAAGUAGGUUGCCAUUGCCAUCUGGAAGCUGGCCACCCCUCACAAUAUCCACUCCGCUGGCAACCACUUUAGUAUUGUCAAAUCCACAGCUAGAGAGGCCACCUGGGAGGCAUGCCUGCGCAUCCAGAAUGUAAUGACUAACUGCUUAAUUUGCCUCAACCCACAAGAAAUGGUUGCUGGCUUCUGCCCCAUGGGCUUUCCCAACUAUGUCUGGGCUUGUGGAUGGCACCAAGCUCCCUAUCCUUUGCCUUCCCCAAGGCACCCAGGAGUUCAUCAGCUGGAAGGGUUUCUUCUCUAUCAUUGGCUGAAUGAAGUGGCCUUCAUGGUUGACAAUACCUGGGUCUUCCACAGCUCCACUUUCUCCCAGAUAAUGGAGAACUGGUGCUAUGGCCCUGGGGUCUCAAACACUGAAGUUGAUGGUGUCCUCAUCCCACCCCUCAUAAUUGGGGACCCAGCCUAUUCUCUUCUGCCUUAGUUCAUGAAGCCCUACAGGGGACAUCUGGACUCAUGGAAGGAGUGAGCUUGGCAGAGGGGAAUUUCUUUCUGGUUCUGGAUGUAAUGCAACUCCAGUGGUUCUGAAAAGUGGUUGUUUUCACUUGUCCUUAACCACCCCAUCCUAUCUGCCACCUAGCCCUGAAGCACUGUGGAGUGGGGCAGGGUGCAGGACCUCGACACUUGUAACUGUUUCUUACAUUUUAUCCACAGAAUAAAAUAAUUUUUUUAGUGCUUUUACAUGAGUCAAAAGGGCAGGGGGCAGAAUGCCCUGCAGCUUAGGGACAGGCAAGGAAGCCUGGUUCCAUGCC